UGUCUAUAGCCAUGCCACCCUGAAAGUGCCCAAUCUCCUCUGAUCUCGGAAGCUAAGCAGGGUCUGGCCUGGUUAGUACUUGGAUGGGAGACGACCUAGAAAUACUAGGAAUUUUAACAA
rnacentral:rRNA from 1 species